rnacentral:rRNA from 1 species
GACGAACGCUGGCGGCGUGCUUAACACAUGCAAGUCGAACGGAAAGGCCCUGCUUUUGUGGGGUGCUCGAGUGGCGAACGGGUGAGUAACACGUGAGUAACCUGCCCUUGACUUUGGGAUAACUUCAGGAAACUGGGGCUAAUACCGGAUAGGAGCUCCUGCUGCAUGGUGGGGGUUGGAAAGUUUCGGCGGUUGGGGAUGGACUCGCGGCUUAUCAGCUUGUUGGUGGGGUAGUGGCUUACCAAGGCUUUGACGGGUAGCCGGCCUGAGAGGGUGACCGGCCACAAUGGGGCUGGGAUGCGGCCCAGUCCCCUACGGGAGGCAGGGGGGGGGAAUUAUGCAAAAGGGGGGGAACGCUGAAGGCGGAACCCCGGGUGGGGGGUUAGCGCCUUCGGGUUUAAAACCGCUUUCCCCUGUUACGGAGGGUGGGGGGCGGUAAAGGGUAAAGGAACCCCGGGUAAACACG